rnacentral:ncRNA from 1 species
CAAUAAAAAAGGCAGGGCAAAGCGACAGAGCCAAAAAUUGGCUGGCUGCGUUGCCAAA